rnacentral:misc_RNA from 1 species
AAAGUCGUAACAAGGUUUCCGUAGGUGAACCUGCGGAAGGAUCAUUAAAGAAAUUUCUGUGCUCUCUGAGUCAGAACAUCUCAUCCAUCCACCUUUGGUGCAUUGUUCGUUUUCUUUGGCGAGUCACGUCAAUGGCCUUAGUAGUCAUUCUCGUCUUGUUGUUGGCAGAUUUAUCCCUCGGGGUUCUUCUGUCUCUUCAAGUGUGCUUGCCAAAGGGUUUUUUGAACCAAACUUUUUAAUGUGUCCAGAAUGUCUACAAUACAAAUACCGAAAGGUAACCAAGAAAA